UUCAUCUUCUAUACCUCCAUUGCAGGCUGUCUGUACACCUUCUCAUGUUCCAAAUGUCUCUGGUAAAUAAGGGAUGCCCUGCAUAUUCUUCCAGAAAGGGUACUGUUUAAAAGGUGACUGAUGUCCAAUUUUGCAUGCAUCAAAUUCUGCAAGUUCAUUGAUCUAGUGACGCUGAUGAUGCAAGAUAUAGUAUGAAUGGAAGAGAAGUCUAUAACCUUUUUUUUUCUUUUAAAUUUAGUUUGCACAUACCUUUUGUUCUUAAAGUCUAGGACACAUUUGUUACUAAGAUGUAAGACAUCUUCUGUAAGGUACAUGAUAGUUUUGGUGAGGUAUACGAUACAAUAUAUAUUAGGGUCUAUGGUAAGUUGUGGAUAAAUAUGCAAUGGCAUUCUAAGGUAUGUAUUAACUAUUAGUAAUUAUUAUGUAUCCAAUCACAAUUAUUCUUUGGUACUUGUAUAUUUUUUUAUUAUUUUCUCUUGCACUAUUUAUUAAAUUUAUUAAUUAGAAAAAUUAAUAAGAUACAACAACUUAUCAAUGACCAAUUGUAUUGGUCGCUAAAAACUUUCACCGACAUUGAAUUAGCGACCAAAACAAUUGGUUGCUAAAUACUUUCAUCGACGACGAAUUAGCGACCAUACAAUUUUGGUCGUUGUUGAUUCUUUAGCAACCAAAAGUUGCCGACAAGCUUUAUUAUUAUUAUUAUUUGUAGUGAAUAUAGGGAACGCUUUUUAUGUUUUAAAGAAUUACACAAACCUCCUCUCUAGGCAAAAUGAAAUAUAUAUUUUUUGCUAUUACCCUAAUCAUUAUGUUACAUUUGGAACAUUAUUUUUCCUUAUUUUUAUUUUUUAUUAAUUAAAUUUUAUGUAAUGUGUAGAUAUCGAAGUUGAUUCAUCAUCAAUGACGGAUCUAGGAUUCAAGGUCAGCUAAGGCGGUCGUUGACGAUUGAUCAUUGAUCGUCACAAUUGCGAUCGAGAUCGUGUAUUAAUAUUUAAUUAAAUAUUAUUAAAAAUUCUUCAAUUUAUACUCGAAAGCACUAAAUGUAAAAAUCAUAACACGAAGUUUAUCACAUGUUAAACUAUCAGUCUAUCACCAAGUUUAAAAUUUCAAUUUCCAAGAACAAACUUAUUAUUUAUCAUACAAAUAUCCCAAUUUAUCAAUAUCAUUUGUCACGAAUCAGAUUCACAGUCCAUAUAUAUUAUAAAUAUUCUCAAAUUCACAAAUUUCCAAUUUUCAUAAAUCAUAAACUUCAGCAUUCGGUAAUAAAAUCCUCAAUAUUAUCAAAUUCUUCAAUUCACAAAAAUCAAAAUCCUAACAGGACACUAUAGGCUCAUAAACACAUCCAUAACUCAUAAACAUAAUUUAUAAAAUAUAAAUUAUAAACGAUAAAUCAAAAAAUUAACUAAAUUCUGAAAGAACAAAAACCAAAAAAUAAAAGAGAGGAAUGGACUCACAAGUCACAAUAGUGAAGGCAGUGGGUAGUGGCAGAGAUCAGAGGCGACCGGCAGCUGGGACUAUGGGACCACUGGCGCUAGGUGCAACCGUGAGAGACUUCAAGGUGAAAGGGAGGGAUUGAGA
rnacentral:lncRNA from 1 species